rnacentral:lncRNA from 1 species
GCCUCACACAUGCUAGGGAAGCACUCUACCACUGAGCUAUAGCCCCAACCCUUCAGGAACCCUUUCUAAUUCUACCUUUUACCUUUGUAAUAAAAAAAAAAAAAGUAAACUGUUGUUUUCUUUGUCCUCUUCAUAUCUUGCAACAGGUCUUCAUCAGAAGAGCUUCCGAUUAGAUGGUGAGCCUGGCGUUCAUACCACAAAAGGGCCAUCGUACAUGUGAGAAAUAUGGCUACUUUUAAGGCUAAGCGUAUUUUUGCAUCCUUAGGUGAUGGAUUUCCUGUGAUAUUCUGAAGUGGAAAACUCCAGUUACUGUUCUGAAGUGUUUGUGAGUCUCUUCCUCUGUCCCAACAGUAUCUCUGUAAGAAUUUUGAAGGCAUUUUCUUUCACUGGCAUUUAAUGAACACUGAUUUUAAAAGGGAUCUGGUUUCCUUUUUUCUUGUCUUCUUAUUUUUUCCCCCUGGUUUUAGUCUUUUCUGUUGCUUUUAUUAAGCUAUCGUUGAGUUCAGAAGGCUAAGAGAAUUUUUCUUUUAAAAAGGAAAGCUUGCCUACCAGCCAGUUUUAUAUUUUUCCCCAAGCACUCAACAGUCUAAUCUUUUUCCCAUUUAAAAUGAGAAUGAGUUUAGCAAGAAAUUGACUUGAUGUUAGGACAGGAGCUUCGGGAAGCUCUAAUCUCAGUGACAGCCUUAACAAACCAAUCCUGCUCCCUGGCCUUCUACAUAUGGAACAGGACCCGUUCUUUCAGACCCUCCAGGUAGGAAACUGAGCCUCUAAAGCGUGAUUGUGACGCUCUCUAUUCACCCUGUCUUUGGGUUGCUCUUUUGUACGUGGCUCUUUGCAAUACAUUCCCCACCCUGUUAGAAGCAGAAGAAUUUGGAAAGAAAACUGGAUGUUGGUUGUCUUUGAAAUGUUUGCUUUAGUUUUACUAGGAGUGUAGCUCCCAAAUUGGUGACACUUAGAAGUUCCCCGAAAUGUUGAAUCUUUAAAGGAGUACUCUGUUUUCUGUUUAUAUGGGAAGAAACCAAUGACAUAAAUUUUGUUGGCUAGGGAAGAUCUUGCCUUAGAGAAAGUAGUAUUAUAAUGCUCUGUAGCACUGUUUAUUGGUUAUCAAUACUUAUCCAUACCUACAGCUCUCGAACUUUUUACUAUAUCAUAAUCACCUGGAGAGUAUUUCAAAACACAGAUCAAUUGGACCCAUCCUCGUUUUCUACUCAAUAGGUGGCUGCAGAGAAUUUCCAUUUUUAAUAACCCCAUUGAAAAUGGUGGUGCUGGUCUGAGGACCCUACUGUUUUUACCAUUGCUAUCAUUACACAAUAGGGGGGAAAAAAAACCGCCGGCACAGUGGCGCUCAUCUGUAAUCCCAGUCAUUUGGAAUACUGAGGCAGGAAGAUAGAGAGUU